rfam:Brochothrix campestris FSL F6-1037 c4, whole genome shotgun sequence.
UUCUUAUCAAGAGUGGUGGAGGGACUUGCCCGAUGAAACCCAGCAACCCCAUGAGAAUGGACGGUGCUAAAUCAAGCUAAGUGAGUGAUCACUUAGAAAGAUGAGAA